AACUCGUGAUGCUCGCAUUUGAGUAACCAUUUGCAACAUUUUUUUAGAAAUGCUGCCGAAUGUUUUUGGAAUAUUUUUCAUCGUAUGCAACAUGAAGAAUCCAUCAAUUAUUACGACAUCUACAUAACGUGGUGGUUCAUGCUCUACCUCUUUUUCCAAACAUUUCAUUAAGGCAGAUUUAUCCGUCUUGCAAAUGGUACCAUCCAAAUGGCACAUGGACAAAGGCACUGAGGUAGUCUAGGAAGAUGGUAGUGAAAUACAAAGCACUUUUGACAUAAUACAGCAGUUCAUAUGUGAUAUAUAUAAUGUUGGUACGAUAAUUGAUGUUGAUGCUGCCCGUCUUCAAUUGUUUAUUAAUAAUUAUACGGUCUGCGAUGUUAAUGAAGCGUUUCAGUGAAAAAAAAAAUAUGCAAUUUUGAUGGGAACAGUCUGCCACCCUGUAAAUCAGAGCUAUUCCAACAAUUUCGACGUGCUAAUUAUAUAUCCAGCAUUUGGAAUAAUGCUCAUAAGAAAAUUCCAUCAAUACAUGAACCAGCAAACAAUGGUUGGGUACAAGUUAACAGCCAAUACAAUUUUAAAUGGUUUGAAGGCGAUCAGUUACCGAAUUUUGUCAGUGAUGCACUGCAAACUAUAUCAGAAACUAACGAAGAAGAUGACACUGACAAUGAGCCAGAAGAAAUAUGGUGCAGCAGUGAUGAAGAGUAUGAAGAAAAUUACGAAAUCAAUAUUAAUAAUGAAAGCUAUGAAGAAUGUUUAUAAUUUUGUAAAUUUCAAAAGAAACAAUGCGCUUCUU